GCAAAUAUAGUUUAAUCCAAAACAUUAGACUGUGACUCUAAAAAUAGAGGUUAAAUUCCUCUUAUUCGCC
rnacentral:tRNA from 1 species